UGUCUCCAGCUCACUUGUCUAUAAAUGUCAUCUCCUUGUAUCGCUAACUUCCCUUUCCACCUGUCACUCACCUCUGAUCUCUCUCAUCUCUGUAUUCAGAGUCGCGCUUUCACUCUCAAACGCCUGUCUCUGCCAGCAUCUAGAAGCAUCGACCACAUCACAGACAUCUGUUGCACAGUGCACCCCUGAAAGCUAUGAUUCUGCUGUUGGAGAUCUUGAAAUGGAAGACAGUCAACACAUCAAAGGCAUAAAGAAAUGACUGGCUUGGAGCAAACAUUUCUACGCUUGCCUGACCUUCCAGAAAUGACGAAAGAUAUUUUAGAAGAGGCCUUACAGUCCAUUGGGGUGGAGACAUAUGAUGAUUUCCUGUUUGUUGAGGAAGCAGAUUUGCUGACAGCUUUGAGACCAGUUCAGGCCUGAAAAGUCCCAGCUGCUUUGAAACGGAGAUGUCAGACUCCUGAAACAAGUAGCUCAUCUUUUUGUGCCUCACCACCAGGGCCUCCCUCAUCUUUGGAGUCUCUUUCACCCAGAAGUUCUUCUUCAACCUCUUCCAAUAGCAGUCAAAGUCCUAAUGUAGAUUGGGUGGAGACCUUCGCAAUACCCUGGGAUAAGUUCCCAGAGGAACUGAUACAGUCACUGGAGAGAGGAAGACGACCAAGUCCACGACUGAAGAGAGAGAUAGUCCGACUUGUGAUGUUUUUUCUCCAUCAACCAGGAGAAGGGACCUAAAGUGGAGAAGACACACACUUCUCGUCUGCACGUGAACCCAAGGGUCCUUACCCUGAUCCAAGAACUUUCAGAUCAUGAGUGGCGUGAUUUCUGAACUGUAAGUGGAUGACAUCAUCAGAUGCCUUAAUGUUGGCAAGUUUAAGUAGGAAGUUUCAGACAAAAUAGUUUUUAGGUGACACUUUUUACACUAUUUUUUAUUGCUCUUGUAUGAUUUGUCAUAGUAGUGUAUUUUGUUGAGUGAGUAACUUAAGUAAGCGUAAGAGAGGACAAGUGGCAGACUGCUACUGUUGAUGGUCAGAGACAGUGAUGGUGAAUUUGUGCUGAGUGGAGGAAAAGCUGAGCAGUUAAGUUGUUAGUCUGGCAGUUAAUGUUCAGUUUAGGUUGAAGUUUGUCAGUGAAU